CCUACGGGCGGCUGCAGUCGAGAAUCAUUCACAAUGGGGGAAACCCUGAUGGUGCGACGCCGCGUGGAGGAAUGAAGGUCUUCGGAUUGUAAACCCCUGUCAUGUGGGAGCAAAUUAAAAAGAUAGUACCACACGAGGAAGAGACGGCUAACUCUGUGCCAGCAGCCGCGGUAAUACAGAGGUCUCAAGCGUUGUUCGGAAUCACUGGGCGUAAAGCGUGCGUAGGCUGUUUCGUAAGUCGUGUGUGAAAGGCGCGGGCUCAACCCGCGGACGGCACAUGAUACUGGGAGACUAGAGUAAUGGAGGGGGAACCGGAAUUCUCGGUGUAGCAGUGAAAUGCGUAGAUAUCGAGAGGAACACUCGUGGCGAAGGCGGGUUCCUGGACAUUAACUGACGCUGAGGCACGAAGGCCAGGGGAGCGAAAGGGAUUAGAUACCCCAGUAGUC
rnacentral:rRNA from 1 species